AUUGAACGCUGGCGGAAUGCUUUACACAUGCAAGUCGAGCGGCAGCGCGGGGCAACCUGGUGGCGAGUGGCGAACGGGUGAGUAAUAUAUCGGAACGUGCCCAGUCGUGGGGGAUAACGCAGCGAAAGCUGUGCUAAUACCGCAUACGAUCCAUGGAUGAAAGCGGGGGAUCGCAAGACCUCGCGCUAUUGGAGCAGCCGAUGUCCGAUUAGGUAGUUGGUGGGGUAAAGGCCUACCAAGCCUGCGAUCGGUAACUGGUCUGAGAGGACGACCAGUCACACUGGGACUGAGACACGGCCCAGACUCCUACGGGAGGCAGCAGUGGGGAAUUUUGGACAAUGGGGGCAACCCUGAUCCAGCAAUGCCGCGUGUGUGAAGAAGG
rnacentral:rRNA from 1 species